UACGUAGGGGGCGAGCGUUGUUCGGAUUUACUGGGCGUAAAGGGCGCGUAGGCGGCGCAACAAGUCACUUGUGAAAUCUCCGGGCUUAACCCGGAGCGGCCAAGUGAUACUGUCGUGCUAGAGUGCGGAAGGGGCUACUGGAAUUCUCGGUGUAGCGGUGAAAUGCGUAGAUAUCGAGAGGAACACCUGCGGCGAAGGCGGGUAGCUGGGCCGACACUGACGCUGAGGCGCGAAAGCCAGGGGAGCGGAACGGG
rnacentral:rRNA from 1 species